AGCAGCCGCGGUAAUUCCAGCUCCAAUAGCGUAUAUUAAAGUUGUUGCAGUUAAAAAGCUCGUAGUUGAAUUUCGGGAUCAAUACGUCGGUCGUGCUUCGGUACGUACUGGCGUAAUUGAUUUCUCCCUUCUGACGAACCAUGAUGUCAUUAACUUGGUGUCAUGGGAAAUCAGGACUGUUACUUUGAAAAAAUUAGAGUGUUUAAAGCAGGCUCACGCUUGAAUACAUUAGCAUGGAAUAAUGAAAUAGGACGUUCGAUCCUAUUUUGUUGGUUUUUGGGAUCAACGUAAUGAUUAAUAGGGAUAGUUGGGGGCAUUAGUAUUCAAUUGUCAGAGGUGAAAUUCUUGGAUUUAUUGAAGACUAACUACUGCGAAAGCAUUUGCCAAGGAUGUUUUCAUUAAUCAAGAACGAAAGUUAGGGGAUCGAAGACGAUCAGAUACCGUCGUAGUCUUAACCAUAAACUAUGCCGACUAGGGAUCGGAUGAUGUUAAUUUUUAAUGACUCAUUCGGCGCCUUACG
rnacentral:rRNA from 1 species